UCGGACGUGGUGCACGGCGCACACCUGCUGGCAAUGUGCCAAAGAUUUCCCAUUGAAUGCAGGUGGACCGGGUUCAACUCCCGGCGUCUGAA